GGUAGUUCUCAGGUGACGCACCCCAGAAUCUGGCUUCCUCCUCUCCGGUUCCGGGUGCGUCACUUGAGAACCACA
rfam:Myotis brandtii contig311600, whole genome shotgun sequence.